AAAGCGAUAAAUAAGAACCUGCUCCAAACGGAGGGCUUUAAAUCUGGUACAAGGAAAAUAAACCUCCGACUCUGAAGAUAAAGACGACAGCAACUCGAAGUGACCCAACUCAAUCUCACUAAGGUGCGAUAACCCCCCAAUGUGACAUGCUCCAAACGGAGGGCUUUAAAUCUGGUACAAGGAAAAUAAACCUCCGACUCUGAAGAUAAAGACGACAGCAACUCGAAGUGACCCAACUCAA
rnacentral:lncRNA from 1 species